GUUUGCAGGAAGCCUUUAAAGGACAGUACAAAAAGAGUAACCACUUGGCAUAAGUGGUAUGCAUGGAAUGACAGCUACCUUGGGCUUUCUGCUGAUUUUACCAGUCUAUCAAAAAAGCCAUCCCAAUCAGUUUGACUGAAUCAGAGCAGUUCACAGAACUCUUCUACUUCUCUGCAUGUAGAGAUGGUCCCAGUCAAGUGGACGAGUCAAGGAAAAGUAUUAUGUGUCUUCCAGAAAGUCUCUGAAAUAAAAGAAGUGAACUCAA